UUUCAUUCCUCUUUUCUUUCUUCACCUACGCACCACCUCCAUCUUUCUUCUGCUUCUCUUUUCUUUCUCAACUCUGUAUCUCCUGUAAAAGAACCAAAUCCCCAUCUCAGAUUUCUGUUUCUUUCUUUUAAUUUCUCCAAAUCAAAGCUCUAUAAAACCAAAAUUAAUAAGUUCUCUAAAAAUGGAAAUCAUCAUCACCAUCAUCGCACCUCCUUAACACAGUCAGUAAAUGGGCAUAAGAGAUGGAUUAGAAGGAGGAGAAAAGAUGAGUGAAUUAUUAUCAGAAGAUGCUGCUAGUGUUGGUACAAUUGUAUUUUUUUCCUGAAAAUUUAGUGAUUGAUUGGUGUUAGGUGUUUUGCUGGUGAAGUGCUCGGUGAAAUGUCUUAAAGAAAAAGGUUCCAGAAUGUAUUAGCAUGAUACUGACAUUACUAUGGGAAGAAGUAGGGGGUUUAUUACAAAGAUCUAGCGGGCGAUUUUAUCAGUUACUUGUGCAAUUAUGCGCCAGAGAGAAGUCCAAUUGCAAGACGGAAGCCACCAACAAAUGUGUUUACGUCCGGAAGAGCUAGAAGGGGAUUAUCUCAAAGUCUUGGAGAGUUGAUCCCUUGCACAAUUCUCUGCCGGGUAGAAGUGCGAUUGCAACUCUGGCGAGUUGUAAUGAACAAGGAUAAUUAAUUUUCAAUGGGGAUCAACAACAAAUGCGCAGGGUAGUUCCACUGCACAGGAAAUCUGGGCGAUCAGAUCUUGUUCAAUGCCGUACUAGGAAACCUUUCUCUGUUCAUGAGGUAGAAGCACUUGUCCACGCCGUGGAGAAGCUUGGAACUGGAUGGUGUGUUUCUACUAUUUUAUUUUCUGGAGAGUUGUAACUGCUGAUUGUAAUUCUUAAAUGAAAGGGUACUGCAUUAUUAUUGCUUAAGAGAUCUCAGUUUAGUAUAAUCAUUUUUCGGGACCUUGUGGAUGUGUCUUUGCUGGUGGUUUUGUUGGUGGAUAUACUAUGACGAUCUUUUGCUUUUACUGAGGUUGAGCUUGUGAAUUAGAAGACUAGGAAUUGGAUGCAUGGUUCAUGUGGAUUUCAAAGAUAUGGUAGUCCAUCAAAUACAAAGGUCAUGUUCAAUUUGUUAAGCUAAAAAACAAGUAAUUGGAAUUCUGCAGGUCUAAAGAAGAUCAACAAGGACAAGUAAUUUGGUCAUGCGGCCUUUCAAGAGGAUGAAGCCCUGGUUCAAAGCUGAAACUGUCAAUUGGCAGCUGCAGAUCACUUGCUUGCUCAUUUGAGUGGCCAUUUCUGAAGUGUGCAGUCUAUACAAAAUGUCCUAAGGUGCAGGAGGAAGGUCAACUACCUGAAUGCUUAUCUAGGUUAAAUGACUAGAUUUUAUUUUUAAUCUAUCAUCUUGUCUAAUUGUACUGAUUCACUGAGUGAAAAUAAUCAAUAAAAAGUUCUGAA